rnacentral:rRNA from 1 species
GUGGGGAAUCUUCCGCAAUGGACGAAAGUCUGACGGAGCAACGCCGCGUGAGUGAUGAAGGUCUUCGGAUUGUAAAGCUCUGUUAAUCGGGACGAAAGAGCCUAGUGUGAAUAAUGCUAGGAAGUGACGGUACCGGAAUAGAAAGCCACGGCUAACUACGUGCCAGCAGCCGCGGUAAUACGUAGGUGGCAAGCGUUGUCCGGAAUUAUUGGGCGUAAAGCGCGCGCAGGCGGAUCUGCCAGUCUGUCUUAAAAGUUCGGGGCUUAACCCCGUGAUGGGAUGGAAACUACAGAGCUAGAGUAUCGGAGAGGAAAGUGGAAUUCCUAGUGUAGCGGUGAAAUGCGUAGAUAUUAGGAAGAACACCAGUGGCGAAGGCGACUUUCUGGACGAAAACUGACGCUGAGGCGCGAAAGCCAGGGGAGCGAACGGGAUUAGAAACCCUGGUAGUCC